rnacentral:rRNA from 1 species
AUUGAACGCUGGCGGCAUGCUUUACACAUGCAAGUCGAACGGUAACACGCCGCGAGGUGCUGACGAGUGGCGAACGGGUGAGUAAUGCAUCGGAACGUGCCCAGUCGUGGGGGAUAACGCAGCGAAAGCUGCGCUAAUACCGCAUACGAUCUCAGGAUGAAAGCGGGGGACCGAAAGGCCUCGCGCGAUUGGAGCGGCCGAUGUCAGAUUAGGUAGUUGGGGGGGUAAAGGCCCACCAAGCCAACGAUCUGUAGCUGGUCUGAGAGGACGACCAGCCACACUGGGACUGAGACACGGCCCAGACUCCUACGGGAGGCAGCAGUGGGGAAUUUUGGACAAUGGGCGCAAGCCUGAUCCAGCAAUGCCGCGUGCAGGAAGAAGGCCUUCGGGUUGUAAACUGCUUUUGUACGGAACGAAACGGUCCGGGUUAAUACCCUGGGCUAAUGGCGGUACCGUAAGAAUAAGCACCGGCUAACUACGUGCCAGCCGCCGCCGUAA